rnacentral:rRNA from 1 species
UACGAAGGGGGCUAGCGUUGCUCGGAAUUACUGGGCGUAAAGCGUGCGCAGGCGGUUGUGCAAGACAGAUGUGAAAUCCCCGGGCUUAACCUGGGAAUUGCAUUUGUGACUGCACGGCUAGAGUGUGUCAGAGGGGGUAGAAUUCCACGUGUGAGCAGUGAAAUGCGUAGAUAUGUGGAGGAAUACCGAUGGCGAAGGCAGCCCCCUGGGAUAACACUGACGCUCAUGCACGAAAGCGUGGGAGCAACAGG